rnacentral:rRNA from 1 species
UACGUAGGGGGCAAGCGUUGUCCGGAAUCAUUGGGCGUAAAGCGCGCGUAGGCGGCCCGGUAAGUCCGCUGUAAAAGUCCAGGGCUCAACCCUGGAAAGCCGGUGGAUACUGUCGGGCUAGAGUCCGGAAGAGGCGAGUGGAAUUCCUGGUGUAGCGGUGGAAUGCGCAGAUAUCAGGAGGAACACCUAUUGCGAAGGCAGCUCGCUGGGACGUUACUGACGCUGAGACGCGAAAGCGUGGGGAGCAAACAGG